CCUACGGGAGGCUGCAGUGGGGAAUAUUGCACAAUGGGGGAAACCCUGAUGCAGCGACGCUGCGUGAGUGAAGAAGUAAUUCGUUACGUAAAGCUCUAUCAGCGGGGAAGAAACACUGACCUUACGGUCAGCAGACGGUACCUGAGUAAGAAGCCCCGGCUAACUACGUGCCAGCAGCCGCGGUAAUCCGUAGGGGGCAAGCUUUAUCCGGAUUUACUGGGUGUAAAGGGAACGUAGACGGUGCGCCAAGUCUGGAGUGAAAUGCCGCAGCUUAACUGCGGAACUGCUUUGGAAACUGGCGAACUAGAGUGCGGGAGGGGUAAGCGGAAUUCCUAGUGUAGCGGUGAAAUGCGUAGAUAUUAGGAGGAACACCGGUGGCGAAGGCGGCUUACUGGACCGUAACUGACGUUGAGGCUCGAAAGCGUGGGGAGCAAACAGGAUUAGAUACCCCUGUAGUC
rnacentral:rRNA from 1 species